rnacentral:miRNA from 1 species
AGAGCAGAGCAUUCUUCGU